rnacentral:rRNA from 1 species
AACGAACGCUGGCGGCAUGCCUAACACAUGCAAGUCGAACGAGAUCUUCGGGUCUAGUGGCGCACGGGUGCGUAACGCGUGGGAAUCUGCCCUUUGGUUCGGAAUAACAGUUGGAAACGACUACUAAUACCGGAUGAUGACGAAAGUCCAAAGAUUUAUCGCCAGAGGAUGAGCCCGCGUAGGAUUAGCUAGUUGGUGUGGUAAAGGCGCAACAAGGCGACGAUCCUUAGCUGGUCUGAGAGGAUGAUCAGCCACACUGGGACUGAGACACGGCGCAGACUCCUACGGGAGGCAGCAGUGGGGAAUAUUGGACAAUGGGCGAAAGCCUGAUCCAGCAAUGCCGCGUGAGUGAUGAAGGCCUUAGGGUUGUAAAGCUCUUUUACCCGGGAUGAUAAUGACAGUACCGGGAGAAUAAGCUCCGGCUAACUCCGUGCCAGCCGCCGCAGUAA